rnacentral:rRNA from 1 species
AUUGAACGCUGGCGGGAUGCCUACACAUGCAAGUCGAACGAGUGGCGGACGGGUGAGUAAUGUAUAGGAACCUGCCCGGUAGCGGGGGAUAACUACGCGAAAGCGUGCUAUACCGCAUACUAUUAGAGCGGCCGAGAUCGGAUUAGCUAGUUGGUGGGGUAAAGGCCCACCAAGGCGACGAUCCGUAGCUGGUUUGAGAGGAUGACCAGCCACACUGGGACUGAGACACGGCCCAGACUCCUACGGGAGGCAGCAGUGGGGAAUUUUGGACAAUGGGCGAAAGCCUGAUCCAGCCAUCCCGCGUGUGCGAUGAAGGUUUCGGGUUGUAAAGCACUUUUGGUAGGAAAGCGGUACCUGCAGAAUAAGCACCGGCUAACUACGUGCCAGCAGCCGCGGUAAUAC